GAUCUUGGCUCAGGACGAACGCUGGCGGCGUGCCUAACACAUGCAAGUCGAACGAAGCUCCCCGAUACAAGGCUUCGGCCAAGUUGAAGGGAUGACUUAGUGGCGGACGGGUGAGUAACGCGUGAGGAACCUGCCUUUCAGUGGGGGACAACAGUUGGAAACGACUGCUAAUACCGCAUAAUGUGCCUUAGGGGGCAUCCCUGGGGUACCAAAGCUUUAUGUGCUGAAAGAUGGCCUCGCGUCUGAUUAG
rnacentral:rRNA from 1 species